GCCAUGGUAGCUCAGUGGUAGAGCAUCUGCUCUGCAUGUAGGAAGUCACAGGUUUGAUUCCCAAUGGCC